UUUCACAACAGAGGCCAACAGAACUUGGAACCCCUGCACCCGGGCCCCCACAUUCUAGUGCAGCCCCACCUCAGGCUCACUUGGCUGGAGACAUCCGCUACUGGAAGAUGUUCUCUUGCUGCUUUCCCACCUCUGGGGACUCUGGCUCCCAGGAACCCCAGGGGUGCCGCUUGUUCAAAUGCUGUAGGCUUUGGCUCCACCAUAAAAACCAAUGCCUCAGGGCGUUUAUCAGGAGGCACCAUAAGAGAUCCACACGGGACAUGGGGCUGGAGUGGGAGGAAGGGGUCAUCUGCCCCAGGGCCUCGAGGAACUGGGAAUUGCCCUGCAUGGCUAACAGAGGCCAGCGCGGGCUCAAGGUGAGUGUAGGGCCUGGGGCCCCCCGACACCCAGGGCCCCAAUGUGACAGGAAAGGCCCUGGGUCCCAGAAGCCAGCCUGCUACUCCUCUGGGCUCCCCCCUAGAUUCCUGCUCCCACAUGAGUCUGGAUUCCCCUCCUCCCCAAACUUGUCCCCAUGGCCCUGCCCCUGUCUGGGCCAGAUGCAGAGUCCCUGUGCACAGAUUUGUAGGAAUAUCAGAAUAGGGCCUUCAGGGGAUGCCUGGUCGCCCAGUGGUUUAGCGCCUGCCUUUCACCCAGGCCCUGAUCCUGGAGACCCGGGAUCGAGUCCGGCCUCGGGCUCUCUGCAUGGGGACUGCUUCUACCUCUGUCUGUGUGUCUGCUUCUUUCUGUCUCUGUCUCUCUGUGUGUCUCAUGAAUAAAAAAAUAGAAACCUUUAAAAAAGAGACACACCAUGUCUCAUCGCACGCAGUCUCCAGUA
rnacentral:lncRNA from 12 species